AGCGGCGAACGGGUGAGUAACACGUGGGCGAUCUGCCUCGCACUUCGGGAUAAGCCUGGGAAACUGGGUCUAAUACCGGAUAUGACCUUCCAGUGCAUGCUGGUUGGUGGAAAGAUUUAUCGGUGCGAGAUGGGCCCGCGGCCUAUCAGCUUGUUGGUGGGGUAACGGCCCACCAAGGCGACGACGGGUAGCCGACCUGAGAGGGUGACCGGCCACACUGGGACUGAGACACGGCCCAGACUCCUACGGGAGGCAGCAGUGGGGAAUAUUGCACAAUGGGCGAAAGCCUGAUGCAGCGACGCCGCGUGAAGGAUGACGGCCUUCGGGUUGUAAACUCCUUUCGACAGGGACGAAGCGAGAGUGACGGUACCUGUAGAAGAAGCACCGGCCAACUACGUGCCAGCAGCCGCGGUAAUACGUAGGGUGCGAGCGUUGUCCGGAAUUACUGGGCGUAAAGAGCUUGUAGGCGGUCUGUCGCGUCUUCUGUGAAAACUUGGGGCUCAACCUUAAGCUUGCAGGCGAUACGGGCAGACUAGAGUACUUCAGGGGAGACUGGAAUUCCUGGUGUAGCGGUGAAAUGCGCAGAUAUCAGGAGGAACACCGGUGGCGAAGGCGGGUCUCUGGGAAGUAACUGACGCUGAGAAGCGAAAGCAUGGGUAGCAAACAGGAUUAGAUACCCUGGUAGUCCAUGCCGUAAACGGUGGGUACUAGGUGUGGGUUUCCUUCCACGGGAUCCGUGCCGUAGCUAACGCAUUAAGUACCCCGCCUGGGGAGUACGGCCGCAAGGCUAAAACUCAAAGGAAUUGACGGGGGCCCGCACAAGCGGCGGAGCAUGUGGAUUAAUUCGAUGCAACGCGAAGAACCUUACCUGGGUUUGACAUACACCGGAAAACCUGCAGAGAUGUA
rnacentral:rRNA from 1 species